GGGGCAGCGAGGCCGGUGCUUGCACCCGCUUUUGGGGACCGGCGCCACGGGUGAGUAACACGUGUGCGACCUGCCCCCUACAGGGGAAUAACCCUAGAAAAUGCGGCCUAAUUCCCCCUUAGUCCCAAAGGGCUGCAUGGCUUUUGGGGGAAAGGUUCACUCCGGUAGGGGAUGGGCAUGCGGCGCAUUAGCUAGUUGGCGGGGUAACGGCCCACCAAGGCGACGAUGCGUAGGGGUUCUGAGAGGAAGGUCCCCCACACUGGUACUGAGACACGGACCAGACUCCUACGGGAGGCAGCAGUGAGGAAUAUUGGUCAAUGGGCGAGAGCCUGAACCAGCCAAGUCGCGUGAGGGAAGACGGUCCUACGGAUUGUAAACCUCUUUUGUCGGGGAGUAAUAGGCGGGACGUGUCCUGCUGUGAGAGUACCCGAAGAAAAAGCAUCGGCUAACUCCGUGCCAGCAGCCGCGGUAAUACGGAGGAUGCGAGCGUUAUCCGGAUUUAUUGGGUUUAAAGGGUGCGCAGGCGGCGUGCCAAGUCAGCGGUCAAAGUUCCGGGCUCAACCCGGUGAUGCCGUUGAAACUGGUGUGCUUGAGUGCGUGCGAGGGAGGCGGAAUGCGUUGUGUAGCGGUGAAAUGCAUAGAUAUGACGCAGAACUCCGAUUGCGAAGGCAGCUUUCCAGCACGCCACUGACGCUGAGGCACGAAAGCGUGGGGAUCGAACAGGAUUAGAUACCCUGGUAGUCCACGCAGUAAACGAUGACUACUAUCUUUUCGGUCCGACUGAGGAUUGGAGGAACAGCGAAAGCGUUAA
rnacentral:rRNA from 1 species